AUGCCUACCACCCUGCGAGCCAGUGAAGCCCCUUCCUAUCUUGGUCCUACAAGCUUCUGAGAGGGCAUUGAAGGCGAGUGGCACAGCAGGACGCAGCACCCACGAGGCUCCUGCUCCUUCUGAAGGCCCCGACGCUGACAAAAGUUACGGCCAUGUCUCAGGUUUGAGGUCAUAUCUCAGUCUGCACGAGCUUUCUUCUUGAGGUUGGGCCAUUGCAACGCUUUGGUAUCUAAAAUAAUAGCUUUUUAAGACAGUAUUACAGUCAUAUAACUUGUUGGGAAAAGCACACUCUAUGGCUCACAAUCUGAAUUAAGCAUGUGUCAUUGUGGCUGAGGAAGAAAUCUUCCACCUUCCAGAAACCUGAUAUUUUGGACCAAAUCCCUCUCUGAACAGGUUGUAUGCUGCCCUUUUCAAAAUCGAGCUAUCAGAAGAUGCCCUUCAGCAGAAGUGUUAAGAGGACUUGAAAUCUAUUAAGACUAGUCUCACAAAGAUCUGCAUAUGCUUAGAGCGAUGAUUCACGUGUUCCUGCAGUGCUGCCCUGGGACCAUUAUAGAUAUCUGAUGGAAC